rnacentral:pre_miRNA from 1 species
AGAGUAGAUGUGAGCCAAGGAUGACUUGCCACCAUAUGUAUUGCCAUCGGAACUUGCAUGCGUUGGAUUGGGGCUUAUGUGACAGGUUAUCCUUGGUUCAACUUUGCUCACU